rnacentral:ncRNA from 1 species
UGUCCUUUCCCCGGUAAAUCUAUUCUUAUCAUAACCGCCAAUUAUCCUUUAAAAAAGAAAACCACGCAGGUUCAGACAUUUGGUGUAUGUGCUUGGCUGAGGAGCCAAUGGGGCGAAGCUACCAUCUGUGGGAUUAUGACUGAACGCCUCUACGUCAGAAUCCCGCCCAGGCGGAACGGCAGCGCCGCGGGAGCCUCGGUUGGCCUCGGAUAGCCGGUCUCCUGAAGCGCGUAGGGACCGGGGUCCGGUGCGGAGAGCCCUUCGUCCUGGAAGACAGGGUGCGGCCGCCAAGGGGGCCGUCCUCACGCCCUUCAUGCAACGCACAUUGGUGGGGAACCUGGCACUAAACCAUUCGUAGACGACCUGCUUCUGGGUCGGGGUUUCGGGGUUUCGUACGUAGCAGAGCAGCUCCCUCGCUGCGAUCUAUUGAAAGUCAGCUCUCGACACAAAGGUUU